rnacentral:lncRNA from 1 species
GUGUGGCAGAGAAGAAUAGUGUUUUGGGGUUCUUUAAUUAUCAUCCGUUCGAUUACUUAUAAAUGACGUGUCGACCUAUGAGUGAUGUCCAAGCAGAUCCAAGCUCUGCUUUCUCUAAAGGAGGUCAUCACCCACCCAUUGCACCCCCAUCAUUUCCACACUUCUGGGGAAUGACCCUGCAUCAAUUCUCCUUCUCAAAAAUGAAAAAUGAGUCAUCGAUUCCACUUUCAGAUUUGAUUUGUCAUUAAUCCAAAAUAGACUGCCCAAGUGCCAACUGCCAAGCAAUGACAAUCAAGUUUUGUCCUCAAAUGUAAUGCACAAGAGAUUAUAAAGAGAAGAGGAGAAAUUGCAUAGAGGUACUCUAAUUAGCAGCUGUGUACUCAACUAUCUAGUUUCCAUGAAGAGCAACAUUAACCCAGGCGACGAUCAUUGCAAUGCAGACCGAGGACAUGAAGAUGAUGAACAUGAAGAGUUGCUCGAGACUAGUAAAGAUCCAGAGAUGAGCAGGAGGACAUUUUCCAUGAGGGAGAUGACGCACAACUCGGCACUUGAGGGUGCAGGCAGGAGAGCCUUUUCCAUGAGGGCAUCAUCAACUUCAGGAGGCGGAUCAGGGUAUCAAAGGAUUGAACUUGGCCACCAGUUCCAGUGCAGCUGGGAUGUUAAUGCAGAUCAUGAUCAUGAGCAGCAUGUUAACUUCAUCGGUGCACGACUUGAUAAAUCUGCAAUGUUGCAGAUGAAACCAACAAAGCUUUUCAAGAAAAGAGGCAGCAAUAUCUUGGAAGCCUGUAAGCGGCUCUUUGGUUUUUAAUUAGUCUCUGUCGAGUCUUGAUCUAUGCAUAGUUAUACGUAUGUUGUAUAGUACUUGUGCCUGGAGCCAAUGCCUUUUCACCUUCUCCCCAAUGGCUUCUAUAUCUAUUCAGUAUUUUUGUUGGAUGAUGGUUGUAGUAUGGUCAUUCUACUAAGAGAUACCUUGGAACAUCGUCGUAAUUUCGAGUAACAAUCCACAAACCUUUGCAAGGAGUCGGUGAAUUAGAAAGAAUAUACUGUUAGUUUUAGCCAGACGUAGUACACCCUUCUCUUUGUAGUCGUGCUUCAAUUCCCAAAGUAGGCAGCAGAACCCAGCAAGACUCAUACCAGCACAAGUUCUGCUUCUAGCAGCCAUCAAUAGUGAUCAAUAUAUUUGAGCAUCAAUAAUACUUCAACUCCAGCGUAGCUUCUAUUUAUCACAAUUCAACAAACAUCUAAAGUCUAAACUAAGAACAUCUCCAACAGUAUCCUUCAUUAUCCUCAUUGUUUGUUUUGUCUAUCGGUUAAGGGAAAAUGAACUUGUUUCAAUAACUUUCCUGCAAAUGUG